rnacentral:rRNA from 1 species
GACGAAGGUGGCAAGCGUUGUUCGGAUUCACUGGGCAUAAAGGGCGCGUAGGCGGCCUUCUAAGUCGGACGUGAAAUCCCUCGGCUUAACCGAGGAACUGCGUCCGAUACUGAAAGGCUUGAAUCCGGGAGAGGGAUGUGGAAUUCCAGGUGUAGCGGUGAAAUGCGUAGAUAUCUGGAGGAACACCGGUGGCGAAGGCGGCAUCCUGGACCGGCAUUGACGCUGAGGCGCGAAAGCUAGGGGAGCAAACGGG